UACGUAGGUGGCAAGCGUUGUCCGGAUUUACUGGGCGUAAAGAGCGCGCAGGCGGUCGAUCAAGUCGAGUGUGAAAGCCCCCGGCUCAACUGGGGAGGGUCAUUCGAUACUGAUCGACUCGAAGGCAGGAGGAGGGUAGUGGAAUUCCCGGUGUAGUGGUGAAAUGCGUAGAGAUGCGGAGGAACACCGAUGGCGAAGGCAGCCCCCUGGGCUAACACUGACGCUCAGGCACGAAAGCGUGGGGAGCAAACAGG
rnacentral:rRNA from 1 species